UAAAAGGGCCUUUGUUGUGAGUGACACACGGAGCUCGUGAGGGUACCGUGCGGAAUCGCUAUCAAGAGAUUUCGGAGGCACAAUUUGUGACGCACGGUGGCAGUCGGUGCUCGUUCAGGCCUGGCGCCCCA